rfam:Actinokineospora spheciospongiae strain EG49 contig1275_8, whole genome shotgun sequence.
CUUCACCGAGCCCAGCAGCAGCGGGCGCCCGGGGUCGCGGUCGCGGCCGUAGGUCGCCAACAGCGCCUGCGCCUC